rnacentral:rRNA from 1 species
GAUGAACGCUGGCGGCGUGCCUAAUACAUGCAAGUCGAGCGAACAGACGAGGAGCUUGCUCCUUUGACGUUAGCGGCGGACGGGUGAGUAACACGUGGGUAACCUACCUAUAAGACUGGGAUAACUUCGGGAAACCGGAGCUAAUACCGGAUAAUAUUUCGAACCGCAUGGUUCGAUAGUGAAAGCUGGCUUUGCUAUCACUUAUAGAUGGACCUGCGCCGUAUUAGCUAGUUGGUAAGGUAACGGCUUACCAAGGCAACGAUACGUAGCCGACCUGAGAGGGUGAUCGGCCACACUGGAACUGAGACACGGUCCAGACUCCUACGGGAGGCAGCAGUAGGGAAUCUUCCGCAAUGGGCGAAAGCCUGACGGAGCAACGCCGCGUGAGUGAUGAAGGUCUUCGGAUCGUAAAACUCUGUUAUUAGGGAAGAACAAACGUGUAAGUAACUGUGCACGUCUUGACGGUACCUAAUCAGAAAGCCACGGCUAACUACGUG